CCUACGGGUGGCUGCAGUGGGGAAUAUUGGGCAAUGGGCGCAAGCCUGACCCAGCAACGCCGCGUGAAGGAAGAAGGCUUUCGGGUUGUAAACUUCUUUUCUCAGGGACGAAGCAAGUGACGGUACCGGAGGAAUAAGCCACGGCUAACUACGGGCCAGCAGCCGCGGUAAUACGUCGGUGGCAAGCGUUAUCCGGAUUUACUGGGUGUAAAGGGCGUGUAGGCGGGACUGCAAGUCAGAUGUGAAAACCACGGGCUCAACCUGUGGCCUGCAUUUGAAACUGUAGUUCUUGAGUACUGGAGAGGCAGCCGGAAUUCCUAGUGUAGCGGUGACAUGCGUAGAUAUUAGGAGGAACACCAGUGGCGAAGGCGGUCUGCUGGACAGCACCUGCCGCUGCGGCGCGAAAGCGUGGGGAGCAACCAGGAUUAGAUACCCCAGUAGUC
rnacentral:rRNA from 1 species